GGGGAUGUCUUGCUUCGACAAUGUGCUUGCUUCUUCUCGUGCGUGACGGGAGCGCGCUACCUUCCUUACGAAUGGCGCAACCCAGCUGCAAAAUCAGCAACAAAAAGUCCUUACUUCACAGUAAACGACUUCGCUUACGCUCACGUAGCCUAAGCGACGUCUCCGCAUUUCUCGUUCGAUAGAGAUGUGUGAGGCGUAAACUACAUCGAACCGCUGUGACCGGAACCGCUUUAUCCGAUCGCCUAAGACCUUAAGCUUUACAUCGUAUCGUUUGGUGAAUCUUCAAGAUACGGUGCGAGACUUCAAGAUCCACUAGGUCACGUAGAAUCGUUUAGAACAACAUAUUGGACGGGGGCUCACUGCCCCCCAUCUCCACAA
rnacentral:tmRNA from 1 species